CAGCCGCCGCGGGAAUACGAAGGGGGCUAGCGUUGUUCGGAAUUACUGGGCGUAAAGCGCACGUAGGCGGACUUUUAAGUCAGGGGUGAAAUCCCGGGGCUCAACCUCGGAACUGCCUUUGAUACUGGAAGUCUUGAGUGUGGAAGAGGUAAGUGGAAUUGCGAGUGUAGAGGUGAAAUUCGUAGAUAUUCGCAGGAACACCAGUGGCGAAGGCGGCUUACUGGUCCACAACUGACGCUGAGGCGCGAAAGCGUGGGGAGCAAACAGGAUUAGAUACCCGCGUAGUCCCUGUCUCUUAUAC
rnacentral:rRNA from 1 species